UACGAAGGGGGCUAGCGUUGUUCGGAAUCACUGGGCGUAAAGGGCGCGUAGGCGGCCGAUCAAGUCGGGGGUGAAAGCCUGUGGCUCAACCACAGAAUUGCCUUCGAUACUGUUUGGCUUGAGACCGGAAGAGGUAAGUGGAACUGCGAGUGUAGAGGUGAAAUUCGUAGAUAUUCGCAAGAACACCGGUGGCGAAGGCGGCUUUCUGGACGACAACUGACGCUGAGACGCGAAAGCGUGGGGAGCAAACAGG
rnacentral:rRNA from 1 species